AGCCUUUGGGAAAGAUCAAAGGUUAUACCUGCCCAAUGUUAUAUUAAUGGCCGCGGUACUUUGACCGUGCUAAGGUAGCACAAUCAAUUGGCCCUUAAUUAGGGUCAGGUAUGAAUGGAGUUACGGGGCUUAGCUGUCUCUAAACUAUUUAAUUGAAGUUGCUGAAUAGGUGAAAAAGCCUAUAUAAAGAAAAAAGACGAGAAGACCCUUAGAGUUUUACUUAAAAAAGAAUAAUUUCUUAACUAGUUUUGUUGGGGCAACAUAGGAAAAACAGAACUUCCUAAAGUAUACAAACCGAUAUUUUUAAAUGUGGAUAAACUACCUUAGGGAUAACAGCAUAAUUUUAAAAAUAAGUUUGUGACCUCGAUGUUGGACUAGGGAACUUAAGGGCUAGCCGCCUUUUAGUAAGGUUCUGUUCGAACUCUAAUUCCU
rnacentral:rRNA from 1 species